UAUGUGAUCGUCUCUCGCAUAUCAAUAAGCGGAGGAAAAGAAACUAACAAGGAUUCCCCUAGUAACGGCGAGUGAAGCGGGAAGAGCUCAAAUUUGAAAUCUUAAAGGGUUUCCCUUUACGAAUUGUAGUUUAAAGAAGUGUUUUCUGUUGAGGUUUUGGUAAAAGUUCUUUGGAAUAGGACAUCAUAGAGGGUGAGAAUCCCGUAUUUGACCUUUACUUUCAACUUUGUGAUACACUUUCAAAGAGUCGGAUUGUUUGGGAAUGCAGUCCAAAAUGGGUGGUAAAUUUCAUCUAAAGCUAAAUAUUGGCGAGAGACCGAUAGCGAACAAGUACCGUGAGGGAAAGAUGAAAAGAACUUUGAAAAGAGAGUUAAACAGUACGUGAAAUUGUCAAAAGGGAAGCGUUUGACACCAGUGUUGUUUUUCUGAAAAUCAAUUAAAGAACUGUUUAUGCUAAGCUGUUUAGACUUUAUCAGCUAUCUGUUUAGUUUUGAGCUUUUCUUUAAUGCACUUUUCAGUUAACAAGUCAACAUCAAUUUCUUUUGCUGUAAAAAAGCUUGAGGAAGGUGGCUUGAGAUUCGUCUUAAGUGUUUAUAGCCUCUUGCCUAUGCAGUCGGAGAGAUUGAGGUCUGCAGCGUAGAUCCUUCGGGGCUAAAUGCAUUUGUGCUAAGUUAUAACAUUUUAUAGACAACUUGUUGACUAUGAUUUGUCUUGUAGCUUACUCGCUUAUGUUAUUUUACCUACGCUUAGGAUGUUGAAGACUCUACAGAGAUA
rnacentral:rRNA from 1 species